UGGAUGUGAUGAGAAGUCUGGAGUCCCUGACCCACCACCCGUGGAGGCAAACACUGAUUUAAUGAGCCUGAUCC